CCAAUAGCAUAUAUUAAGGUUGCUGCGGUUAAAAAGCUCGUAGUUGAAUUUCGGGAUUGAUGCAUCGGUCGUGCCUUAAAGGGUAUGAACUGGUGUGGUCAAUUUCUUACCUUCUGGUGAAUUGUGAUGUCCUCCUUAAUUGGGUGUUUCAAUGAACUAGGACUUUUUACUUUGAAAAAAUUAGAGUGUUUAAAGCAGGC
rnacentral:rRNA from 1 species